AAAUUAGUGUUUUUUCAAGCAAUUGACCAGCAGGAUUCCAGAGAACAGUACAGAGUAUUUCACAACAAAUUUCAAAACUUCGAAACUGGACAUUAUUGUUAACAACGUGAUUGGAAGAUGAAAGAACACCCUGGAAUUCCACGUAUUCUAAUAUAGCUCAGAGAAACUGGAGUAAACCGAGUUAGCACUUAUUGAGAGCCAGCAGACGAUAAUCAGUCAAAUGACGAGAAGGACGCACAUAAGGAAACACAGGCGGUUAAGGAAACAUCGGCAGAAAACAUAACUUCUAAUUAAUUUAAAUAUAUUGUUUAAAUUUUCUCCGUUUUGUAUGGUAUUCGCACUUUCACGAUUUGAGUAGCACAAUAUGCAUGGAUUAAUACAUUUUUAAUAAAACACUUUUUUUUAAUAAAAUAUUAAUCAAUAGUUAAUUAUUAUUGAAAGAAAUUGCGUUUUGUGCCUAAUUAUCAUCUAAUUUUUAUCACUAGAAUGAAUGAAACGCCACUCUUUAAUAAUCUUUUUAAGAAAAUCAGCAAAAAAUAUUUAUGAAAAUUUAAAAUUAAGGAAAAUGUUCAGUAUAAACCUUUUUAAGAUAAAACCGGAUUUAAAAUGUACACAAUUUUCUAUCUAAUUAUGUAAUGAAAAAUUAAAAAAUCCCAAAAAUGCUCAAAAUGCCACUAAAAUCGCGAAAGUACGAUAUAAAUAACAUAAAAAUUUGUAAUUAAAUUAAUUAAUUGUAUUUUAUAAAUUUAAAUGCAAAUAAAUUUAAUUUUAGUAUAUAUUUUAGAUUUAUUAUUAAAAAUACGGUUAAAACCGGUAAAAAACCGUUGGUCAGUUGAAAUUAAAAAAAUGUCGUUAUUUUAAAAUUCAAAAAUUGCGAAUUCCCCACAGCAUUUUCACCACUCAACCCCGAACAAAGUUCCUGGAACGUCUUGUGUCACGGUCAUUAAAAUUUCCAUAAGGCAAGUACUAUACAGAGUACUACUUGUCGUACUACUGUACAAACACCGAAUUUGCGUU